GUCCCUGUAGACAAUGGAUAGCGCGUUGGACUUCUAAUCCAAUGGUCGUGGGUUCGAAUCCCUCCUGGGAUG